CGUCAGCUCGUGUCGUGAGAUGUUUGGUUAAGUCCUGAAACGGGCGCAACUCUUACUUUUAAAUUUUAACGUAUUAAAGGUUUCCUUUAAAUGCUUUAAAAGUACGGUCAAUGAUAAGUUGAAGGAAGGUAAGAAUGAAGUCAAGUCAAUGUGACCCUAAUAAAUUGGGCUACUUCAUGUGCUACAAUGAAAAUUACAAAAAGUGACAAAAAAGAGAUUUUAAGGUAAUCAACAAAAAUUUUCCCAGUUCGGAUUGUAGACUGCAACUCGUCUACAUGAAGUUGGAAUCACUAGUAAUCGCAAAUCAGCACGUUGCGGUGAACAUGUAACUUGACCUUGUACACACCGCCCGUCACUUGCAAAGAAUUAGUUCCGCUUGAAAAUUUUAAUAAAAUUCAUUGAGGGAUUGAUAAUUUGGAUGAAGUCGUAACAAGGUAGCUGUACGGGAACGUGUAGCUGGAACAAC
rnacentral:rRNA from 1 species